rnacentral:lncRNA from 1 species
CACAUCUGGGGCCUUCAAAUAGUCUAGCCAGACAUGUAAAUGCCUUAUGGACAGGGUCAAUAUCUUUUCAUGCACGGGUCUGUGACAUGUAAACAGAACCUGGCACGAUGAAGUAAAGGUGUGUAGAAUCAAUAACAGAAGAGGCAAAUCCGUGAUGAAACAGUCCAGAGAUGGAAUGCCCAGAAAAUGAUCAUUUUGGAGGAUUUGAGAGUCCCAGCGGACCUGGAACCUCCAUUUUCCCUCCGAAGUGAUCCUCACGGAAUAGCGUGGUUACAGAAUCGUUCCGGAGCAGUUAUAAGCGGUCGUGCCCUUCUGGGCAUCUCUUAGCUUGGUGACCACUGUCCCAACGGAUGCAGCGCGGAAUUCUACAAGGUCACUCGAGCAAGGGCUACACCUGCAGCACACGUACGUUUUCUGGCUAAGGGUCAAAUCAGAGCUGCAGCUACCUGCCUAUGUCACAGCCAUAAAAACACCGGAUCUGAGCCACAUCUGAAACCUACACGGCAGCUUGCUGCAACGCCAUAUCCCUGACCGGCUGAGUGAGGCCAGGCAUCAGAACCUGCAUCUUCAUGGAUACUAGCUGGGUUCUUCACCUGCUGAGCCACAACAGCAACUCAUUUAUUUUUAAAAACCUGUCAUGGACAUUGUUUCAUUUACCUCCAGUGACUCUGAUUUAAUUGGUUUGGAUUGUGGCCUGAGCCUUGGGAGUUUGCAGUGCUCCACAGGUGAUACUAAUUCACGCCAGAGUUUGAGAACCUCUGCUCUAGGCCAGUGGUUUUCAAACCUGGGCAAGGAUCAGAAUCUACAGGAGGGUUUGUCAGAGCACAGAUGUAGGAUUCACCCUGUGGGUUUAGAAUUCAGGACUCCUGGGCCUGAGAAUUUGCGUUUCUAUUAUGCUUCCAGAUGAUGCUGAUGCUGCUGGGUCUGGGGCUAUGUUUUGAGAAUCAGUGCUCUGUUCAAACUCUCUAACUUGCCCAGGUUCCUACAUGCCACUUACAUCAGUUGCAUCUAACUGCAGUUGACCUACUAUAUUUUUAUCAAUGUAUCCACAUGUCUAUUUCUGUCAUUAGAAGGUAAAAACAACAGCUUUUUUGCCCCCCCCCUUUUUUUGUCUUUUUGCCUUUUCUAGGGCCGCUCCCAUGGCAUAUGGAGGUUCCCAGGCUAGGGGUCCAAUCAGAGCUGUAGCCACCGGCCUACACCAGAGCCACAGCAACACUAGAUCUGAGCCGUGUCUGCAAACUACACCACAGCUCAUGGCAACACCGGAUGCUUAACCCACUGAGAAAGUCCAGGGAUCAAACCCACAACCUCAUGGUUCUUAGUUGGAUUCGUUAACCACUGAGCCACGACAGGAACUCCAUAACAACAGCUUUUUUAUUAAAAAAAAAAAAAUUCUCUGCCCAGAACUGCACCUGGUAUAUAGUAGCUGCUCAAUCAAUGGAUACUGAAUGAGUAAAUAUUCAACCUUUUGUUAUCUCAGAGAUGGAAAAUCAUGUGCUAAAUUUAUGCCAAACAUUUUUGGGUACUGACUCUAACGAAUACUCGUGCAUCUGAAUUUAGAUCUAGAAGGCAGUUUGCUUAGCUUCUAUGAAUUACAUCUGGGAUUUUGGUGAUAGGAUUGGGUUGGCAAGGUACUGCUCAAACACUGGGAUAAAAAGCCUUAUGCCAAAGCAGAUUCUAUUACCUUACAUUAACAACACCUCUUUUAAAACUGACAUUUAAUAAGCAUCUCUAUCAGUAAAGGCUUUUUAAGAGCACUCCAUAAAAUGUUGCGAAAAAUGAGAACAUUUAAAACACAGCCAAACAAUGAGCCCCAUUCACACAGCGUCUUCACAAUAUACCUCCCAUAUCAUGGACCUCAUACAGGAUCACUCUUUCUUCUCCAGUGACAUUGGCACGAGCUAGUCAUACUGAUUGUCUGAUUAAAAAUAUAGACUGUGGCAGUGAGGACUUAUGAGAGGGACCCAUGCGUCCCUGUGGCUGAUGCAUAGAUCUCAGACUUAAUACACACUCAGCUACAAAGCAAUGGAACCAGAUAGUAAAAUUUUUAUUCCCAAGGAGAUUAGACUCUGAUGCAGAACAAUGAUUUUCAUUGUUUCACAGAACCUCAUAAAGUAAAUCCAAAGAGAUAUUUAUAAAAAGGGUUUCCUAAUCCUUGCUAAUUUCUUAAAUACCUACUUUCAGGAAGAAUAAAUUUGUUCUCUAUUCAUGGCUCUGUAGAAUAUAAACAUUAGAAAGUGUGUUGGCAUAGCCCUUUCUGAACUCCAGUCCCCAAGCUGGUGACAGGGUAUUUCUCAUUUGCAUGUGUGGAUAAAUCCAUGUGUGCACCGUGUGGGUGUUAGCCUUGCUUGUUGCACAUUUCAAUCCACAUUUGCCUUCCACUUUGAUGACCGCCUGAUUGUUCUGGAAAGGCAAUGCUGUCCUUGGUGGUGCAGAAGGUAAUGCCAUUUGACGUCUGAAUCGUAUCCAGGCACCAUUUUUCCAUGAGUCAGUGAGGAACACAAGAUGAGAAAUCCGUCCUUCUGAGUUUCUGGUUAAUCUCUCUUAAUUAGAGCCUGUGUCCGUGAUCUCCUCUUAAUCAUCAUCUGCGGAGUGGGUCCUUCGGUUCUGAGAAUGUCGAAAUACCUGGAUAUUGGAUUUCUGAAUUAAGUGUAUUAUGACUGAAUUCCACGUCAACAUUAGCAAGUGGCCGAUGGAUGGAACAUGAUCAAAUCAGGAAUCAAAGAUUCUGUAGGUCGUGCUUGCUUUAAAAAAAAAAAAAAAAAAACUUUAAAAAAGGACACAUUUGCCUAAAAUUUAUGGGCAAUGCGUUUUGAGUUCAGAGAGACCACAUUUAGGAUGUAAAGUCCAUUGCGUGAGCAGGCAAAAACAGAUUGAGAGAUUGCUUUCUGUUGUUAUCCGUUCUGUCUUUGGUUAUUGGAUUGGUUGGUUGGUUGGUUGGUUGGUUGAUUGGUUGGUUUUCAACAAACCUUCAUUUUUCCUGUUUCUUUCUCAUCAACCGUGGGGGAGAGGACUAUAUACACCAGCAGGCCUGCUCCUAGCCUUGCUCCCACUUCAAGUAGUACCACCUACCUUUUGUCUAGAUAUUUAAAAGUUCUAACUCAAGCAUACAGACUGCUUAAUAAAACAGUCUAUCCCCUACUUUAACAAGUAUAUUUUCCUAAUGACAAAUUCUGUAAAGCUAUUGUUUUUAUACAAUUGAAAACCUAUGAAGUAUCAAGGAUGACUGAAUUUAAUUAAUAUUGUACACGUCAGUUGUUGGUCUGCCAAAGUUUGCGUGAGUAAGUAAAAGCAUACUUCAUU